UCAAGAGAUAGAGGUGGGCCUGACAAGAGUAGAUAAGAUAAGGUAUGAGAGAUAUCGUUGAUUCUUAUUGAAAGGGGAAGGCCCCGAAGGGUGGAUUUUCUCGAAUCUAUGCCUGGUUUCCGGAUUAAGAGUCCUGCGACUGUCACCAAUAUUGGUGGAGAGCUAUCGUUUUG
rnacentral:ncRNA from 2 species